CCAAUUAAGAAAAGAUUUGGCUACAAUGACACAUUGGCUGGAAGACACACCCACAAACCCAUGGACCACCGGACUGUUCUUGCCAGGCUGCAAUCAAGCUAUCAACAGUGCUGUGUUCUCAUCUGGAGACUCAACUGGAGAAGAAUUUGCUUCUAAGCCCACUCCAGUGGAAUUAACUCAUGCGAUUAUGGAGGCUGAGAAAUCCCACACUCUGCUUCUGCAAACUGGAGACCCUGGAAGGCUGGCGGUGUAACUCUGAGAACUGGGAAUCUGAUGGUGCAAGUCCCAGGAGAGGGCAGAAGACUGAUGUCUCCACUCAACCAAUCAGGCAGACAGAGCAAACUCUCCCUCCUCUGCUUCUGUUGUUCUAUUCAGGCCCUCAAUGGAUUGGAUGACAGGACUGGAUGAGGACCCCCACACUGGGGAGGGCCAUCUGCUUUACUCAGCCACUGAUUCAAAUGCCGGUCUCAUUCAGAAUCACUCUCACAGACACAACCAGAAAUAAUGUUUUACGUAGGCACUCCAUGCCCCAAUCAAGUCAACACAUAAAAAUAACCAUCACGAGUCUACCCCUUGUCAACUUGACACUCAUCCUCAUCUCCUGAAACCAUACUUAAUCUCCAAAUAAUGACAAUAACAAGAUAAUAAUUCUGCCUAAUAUGAUACAUCUAUCCUGUGUGCCACCGAAAAUGCACAAACUCUUUCCCAGAAAAGGAUAGGAAUGAGUGAUGUUUAGUCUUCUCUUUGAUAUUCUUCUGAAACUUAAAGACUGUGAUGUUGCGGAGACAAAAGUGAGUCCAUCUUGAAUGCUGAUCUGCCAUACUGACUUCUUACUAACCCCAGUCUCAUGAAUGCCUCUGAUUCCUACUUUAUUUACUGUCCUUGGUGUAAGAACAUGUACACACUAUAAAUCCUGCCUUUAGGUCAAGGCAACCUUGAUAUUACCACACAAAUCACAGGCUAUGACGCACACAGCAUUCUUGCCUGUUCUGGAGGGCUGCUGUGUUAGGCCGUCCCUGCAUUACUAUAAAAAAUACCUGAGGCUAGGUAAUUCGUAAAGAAAAGAGGUUUGGGCUGGGCGCGGUGGCUCACGCCUGUAAUCCCAGCACUUUGGGAGGCCAAGGCGGGUGGAUCCCCUGAGGUGAGGAGUUUGAGACCAGCCUGGCCAACAUGGUGAAACCCCGUCUCUACUAAAAAUACAAAAAAAAAAAAAAAAAAUUAACCAGAUGUGGUGGCAGGUGCUUGUAAUCCCAGCUACUUGGGAGGCCGAGGCAGGAGAAUCUCUUGAACCUGGGAGGCGGAGCUUGCAGUGAGCUGAGAUUGCAAUUCUCCCACCUGCAGGCUGCAGGCUGUACAAGCAUGGCUCUAGAAUCUGCUUCUGGCGAGGGCCUCAGGAAGCUUACAAUUACCGUGGGAGCUGAAGGGGGAGCAGGCAUGUUACAUAAAUAAAGUGGGAGCAGGAGAGACGGGGAAGGGGUGGGUGCCAUACACUUUCAAACAACAAGAUCUCACAUGCAGUCAGGUGAGAGCUCACUUAUCACCAAGGGGAUGGUGCUGAACCAUUCAUGAGGGGAUCUGCCCCCAUGAUCCAAUCACCUCCCACCAGGCCCCACCUCCAACACUGGGAAUCAUUGCAACAUGAGAUUUAAAGGGGACAAAAAUCCAAACUAUAUCAGUUGCCUUGAAUUGUCUCUAUAGAGCAUAGAGCCCCUUUCCCUUUGGUAGGUGAGCCUUGUGUCUGGGGAGGAAUCGUGCUGAGAUCUACCUGUCUUGCUGAUGCUCAAGACUAAACUACUGUGUAUAAGUUCCCUCAUAAAUCACCCUUCAUUGACAAACUGGUUCAUCUGCCUCAUUCCUUGGUUUCUCUGUUCCUUUGGCAUUUGAGGGCUGCUUUGCAUAUAUGACACUUUCAUAGAGCAGAUGUAAAAUUUUUGUUGUUAUUGUUGGUUUUUUGUUUGUUUUCUAUAGAGACAAGGUCUGGCUCUGUUGCCCAGGCUGGAGUGCAGUGGUGCAAUGACAGCUCACAGCAGCCUCAUCCUCCCAGGCUCAAGCGAUUCUUCCACCUCAGCCUUCUGAGUAGUCGGGACAGCAAGUGCAUGCCACUACACCUGGAUACUGUUUUUUGUUUUUUUUCUGUUUUGUUUUUAGUAGAGAUGAGGUUUUGCCAUAUUGCUCGGGCUGGUUUCGAACUCCUGGGCUCCAGCAAUUUGCCUGCCUUGGCCUCCCAAAGUUCUAGGAUUACAGGUGUGAGCCACCAUGCUCAGCUGUUGUUGUUUUCUG
rnacentral:lncRNA from 10 species